rnacentral:rRNA from 1 species
AGCCCAAACCAAGAAGCUUGCUUCUUGGGGUUGUAGGACACUCUAUACGGAGUUACAAAAGAAAGUUAUAAAUGAAGCGGUCUGGAAAGGCCCGCCAAAGACGGUAACAGCCCGGUAGUUGAAAUGGCUUUCCCUCCAGAGUGGAUCCUGAGUACGGCGGAACACGUGAAAUUCCGUCGGAAUCCGGGAGGACCAUCUCCCAAGGCUAAAUACUCCCUAGUGACCGAUAGUGAACCAGUACCGUGAGGGAAAGGUGAAAAGCACCCCGGAAGGGGAGUGAAACAGUUCCUGAAACCGUGUGCCUACAAGUAGUUAGAGCCCGUUAAUGGGUGAUAGCGUGCCUUUUGUAGAAUGAACCGGCGAGUUACGAUUUGUUGCAAGGUUAAGCGGAAAAAGCGGAGCCGUAGCGAAAGCGAGUCUGAAUAGGGCGCAUAAGUAACAGGUCGUAGACCCGAAACCAGGUGAUCUACCCAUGUCCAGGAUGAAGGUAAGGUAAUACUUACUGGAGGUCCGAACCCACGCACGUUGAAAAGUGCGGGGAUGAGGUGUGGGUAGCGGAGAAAUUCCAAUCGAACUUGGAGAUAGCUGGUUCUCUCCGAAAUAGCUUUAGGGCUAGCCUCGAGGUAAAGAGUCAUGGAGGUAGAGCACUGUUUGGACUAGGGGCCCUUCUCGGGUUACCGAAUUCAGAUAAACUCCGAAUGCCAUGUACUUAUACUCGGGAGUCAGACUGCGAGUGAUAAGAUCCGUAGUCGAAAGGGAAACAGCC